AGUGAACGCUGGCGGUAGGCCUAACACAUGCAAGUCGAACGGCAGCACAGUAAGAGCUUGCUCUUACGGGUGGCGAGUGGCGGACGGGUGAGGAAUACAUCGGAAUCUACUUUUUCGUGGGGGAUAACGUAGGGAAACUUACGCUAAUACCGCAUACUACCUACGGGUGAAAGCAGGGGAUCUUCGGACCUUGCGCGAUUGAAUGAGCCGAUGUCGGAUUAGCUAGUUGGCGGGGUAAAGGCCCACCAAGGCGACGAUCCGUAGCUGGUCUGAGAGGAUGAUCAGCCACACUGGAACAGAGACACGGUCCAGACUCCUACGGGAGGCAGCAGUGGGGAAUAUUGGACAAAGGGCGCAAGCCUGAUCCAGCCAUACCGCGUGGGUGAAGAAGGCCUUCGGGUUGUAAAGCCCUUUUGUUGGGAAAGAAAAGCAGCAGGUUAAUACCCCGCUGUUCUGACGGUACCCAAAGAAUAAGCACCGGCUAACUUCGUG
rnacentral:rRNA from 1 species